GAUGAACGCUGGCGGCGUGCCUAAUACAUGCAAGUCGAGCGAACAGACGAGGAGCUUGCUCCUCUGACGUUAGCGGCGGACGGGUGAGUAACACGUGGAUAACCUACCUAUAAGACUGGGAUAACUUCGGGAAACCGGAUCUAAUACCGGAUAAUAUAUUGAACCGCAUGGUUCAAUAGUGAAAGACGGUUUUGCUGUCACUUAUAGAUGGAUCCGCGCCGCAUUAGCUAGUUGGUAAGGUAACGGCUUACCAAGGCCACGAUGCGUAGCCGACCUGAGAGGGUGAUCGGCCACACUGGAACUGAGACACGGUCCAGACUCCUACGGGAGGCAGCAGUAGGGAAUCUUCCGCAAUGGGCGAAAGCCUGACGGAGCAACGCCGCGUGAGUGAUGAAGGCCUUCGGAUCGUAAAACUCUGUUAUUAGGGAAGAACAAAUGUGUAAGUAUCUAUGCACGUCUUGACGGUACCUAAUGAGAAAGCCCCGGCUAACUACGUG
rnacentral:rRNA from 1 species